UACGAAGGGAGCUAGCGUUGCUCGGAAUCACUGGGCGUAAAGCGCACGUAGGCGGACUCUUAAGUCGGUGGUGAAAUCCUGGAGCUCAACUCCAGAACUGCCUUCGAUACUGAGAGUCUCGAGUCCGGGAGAGGUGAGUGGAACUGCGAGUGUAGAGGUGAAAUUCGUAGAUAUUCGCAAGAACACCAGUGGCGAAGGCGGCUCACUGGCCCGGUACUGACGCUGAGGUGCGAAAGCGUGGGGAGCAAACAGG
rnacentral:rRNA from 1 species